rnacentral:rRNA from 1 species
UACGUAGGGGGCUAGCGUUGUCCGGAUUUACUGGGCGUAAAGAGCGCGCAGGCGGUCGUUCAAGUCGCGUGUGAAAGCCCCCGGCUCAACUGGGGAGGGUCACGCGAUACUGAUCGACUCGAAGGCAGGAGAGGGUAGUGGAAUUCCCGGUGUAGUGGUGAAAUGCGUAGAUAUCGGGAGGAACACCAGUGGCGAAGGCGACUACCUGGCCUGUUCUUGACGCUGAGGCGCGAAAGCUAGGGGAGCAAACGGG